rnacentral:rRNA from 1 species
AACGAACGCUGGCGGCAUGCCUAACACAUGCAAGUCGAACGAGACCUUCGGGUCUAGUGGCUCACGGGUGCGUAACGCGUGGGAACCUGCCCUUAGGUUCGGAAUAACUCCCCGAAAGGGGUGCUAAUACCGGAUAAUUUCUUCUGACCAAAGAUUUAUCGCCUUUGGGUGGGCCCGCGUUGGAUUAGCUAUUUGGUAUGGUAAAAGCCUACCAAGGCGACGAUCCAUAGCUGGUCUGAGAGGAUGAUCAGCCACACUGGGACUGAGACACGGCCCAGACUCCUACGGGAGGCAGCAGUGGGGAAUAUUGGACAAUGGGCGAAAGCCUGAUCCAGCAAUGCCGCGUGAGUGAUGAAGGCGUUAGAGUUGUAAAGCUCUUUUAACCGGGAUGAUAAUGACAGUACCGGGAGAAUAAGCUCCGGCUAACUCCGUG